GGGAUCCGGCUUUGGGACGCAGCUCGAGGUGACGGACCACUGCCACAGGCUCGUGGGCACAAGUGGCGCUGCGCGGGCACUUUGGGGGUUAGGUGUGCGUGGGCCGCCGGGGCGCAUUUCCUGCACGUGGCUCCUCGCCGCCCUCCCUCCUCCACCAGCAAGGAGAGCAGAGGUCCAGGAGUUCUAGGAAGAUGCGUGCGGUUCCCUGGUCCUGGCAGGCAGGACAGCAUCAGGAUGGUCGCGCGCGCCACCUGCCAGGGCCAGUCACUGGCAGAUCCCCUACGCUCUUGUUCUGGCUAACUGGACCAGGAGAUGCGUACCUCCGCGGGCCCAACUGUGAUCCUAGAGAGUUAACUAAGGUGUCUUGAGGACCUAAGCGCGUGGCAUGACUGGCUGGAGCACACCCUGCGUUCCCAGGAGGUUCACAGAUCUCUAUUGGAGCCGCUGCUGAAGAUGCGGGAAUAGACCAGAGAAAAUCCCGAAAUGGUAAAAGACUGGGUCCUCUUUGCAAUUUUAGAAGUUGUACAGUGACUUUAUAUAUGAUGUAGAGCAGAUGUGUUAAAGAAAAGUAUUACCUAGAAGGAGCUUUCUCUGGAGGGCUGAGGUAUGGUUUUGCGAAGUUGAGUCAGGUUUUGGAAUAUAUUUUUAGUGGAGGCAAAAAUCUCUAGUUGUAGGAACCCAGUUCAAGAAAAAAAGCACUACCCUUUUUUGUAUAAUAAGCCAAUAUUUGCACUAUAGGAAGCAGAUUUUAUAUUUACUUAGGAAGUUUUGCCAAUUUAUAUUUAAAAGUGUUUUAAGAACUAUCUUAGUCACUAAGUGGCUUCGAAAAGUUCCAACAUUUAAAAUAUCCUUUCUCAUUAAACACAUUACAAGUUUUGUGUCCCUGAAGUUUAUUGGUGUCCCCCCCCCCUCAAUACAAACAUUCCACCAUGGAAGGGAGGGAGCUCGUGACUCCUCAGACUGCUCUCUGCCUCAUUUUCCUGGGUAAAACACACUUGGAAAUGAGAGAGAUUUUCCUGUGGAAGAUAAGGACAUGAAGACAAAGAGCUAAUCUGACUUCUUUAGGUUUAAUGGAGAAAAUGGGUCCAUAAAUGUUUAACAGAAGUAGAGCCCUUUGAAAUAGAUAAAAAUGUGACAUCUCUAGGCCAUCUGUGCGGUAUGUGAAGAGUGUAAAGCUGUUUUUUAACUCAUCUCUGAAAUUUCUAUCGUUUUCUCUUAAUGGACUGGGGGCAGGGAUGCUUCAUGUAAUCAAACCUUCUGUGUGGCUCCCCAAAGCUCUGGAUGAGCUCAAGACAUCAGUACUCACCCUGAUUUUUAUUUAUUUAUUUUUUUGCUUACGUCUUUUCCUGGGCUCUUGCCUCUUAGAAAACUAGGGUGAAUAUUACAGCUCUGCAAAUUUUCUGGGAUGCGAAUCUCAAAUUUCCUUAGAUGGAGAGGGAGUCCAAAAUCCUCUUACUCUUAAGAGUCAGACAUUCUAAGAUUGCCAGUGUUAUUCAUGUUUAAGUCUGUGUAAAUAAUUGAGCUUAUUAAUGUUUGAAGUAACACAACCCCAUUUGCACUCUCAACAGAAGGCAAACUUGUUUUAGAAAUAGUAACUCACAGUUCACUUACUUGGUGUGUGUGUGUGUGUGUGUUUAUUCAGGUGAGUCUGCAGAUCUGGCAAAGAAGAGCUCGUGGAAGACUUCAAGGUUGCACUCCUGGAAUAUGCCUUGGCCAUGUC
ensembl:processed_transcript uncharacterized LOC110286160